UUAAAACAGUUUCUACAGUGCUUUGUGAACAAUCAAAUUCCUCUUAAUAGCAGACAAGUUUGCAUUGACAAAUAAUGGAUUUUCUUCUCCGCAGCUAGUUCUUCUAGGGAAUCUUUGUAUGAUGUUUAGGUGUAUUUUUAAAUUCAUAGAGGUACAACGAAUUAAGUAUUGAAGGUACUCAUCUACCAAAUGCAUAUAGAAAAGCAGAAUGUGUUGGUGUAAAAUUAUUCUGUCUGAAAUGGUUCAAAUUGUUGUUUUUAUUAUUUAAAUUGCAAAUAAGUUAUCUCCAGUUACUUGGACAAACAAGGUUGUGCGUUGAGAUGCAGAGCUUCAACUUUCAUGUAUUUGAUUCUCUUCUCAAAGUGGAUGCUUGUAUGUAGCUGAAAACAGAAAAUAAUGACCUCAAGUUAAAAUUGUGAAUGUUCUUGUUUUAUUUGUUUUUAUAUUAUUAAGAAUCACUGGUGUUUUAUAAAAGCACACAUUUUUAGGACACCAAAAACUUCAACUCUGUCUAACUUUGUAAAGCAUAGUGCAGUAACUUAAAAGAAAACAAACCUUUAAACUAUUUAUUCUUCACUAAGUUGUGAGAACUGGCCGAAGUCAGGUUUGAGAUGGAAGCAUAGUGCAGCUGCAGACUUAUUGUACAAAUCUAUGCAUGACAUAUCUGUAGAGGUGCCAGUUUUGAUCGGAAUAGGCUGCUGCAGAUAUUUCAAAUUAACUAUAAACUACAUUUUUAUGUAUUCAUUUGUUACACUUUACAUGAUCUUUAAAGAGAAAAUUAGCAUUUUCCUUCUUUUUUUCCUAUUGUUUAACACCAUGUUUUUCUAUUUGAUAUUUUGAUAUAUUAGUGUACGGCUUUUAAUGCAUCUCCAACAUAGAAUAUUGGCACAACAGUAAUUAUAACAUUUAAUGCUUCCACAUUACAUCAGCACUAAUGUGUUGAAGGUAUAAGAAAGGGACUUUGGAUUUCUUUUUACUUACUACUUGCAUGGCACUCUAAAAUGCCUGUUUUCUAAGACUAGUACUAUGCAUAUGAUGUGUUUUUCUCAGUAUGGUGCAGUGGUACGCCCUGGCAGAUUGUCACGUACAGUGGCUGGAUGAGGAGGGCUGUAUGCAGUUGACUGAUUUUAAUUGAUUUUUGCUUACCCAACGAGUUUUCCAGAAAGAUCUAAUUAAAUUGUGCUCCUCACUGUGGAGUGCUGCAGAUAGAUACAGGCACUCUGGCUGUAUAUUUCCAUAAAACUAUUGCACUGUAUUUCUAAAAGGUAGAAGUCAAUGAUGAUAGCCAAUGAUCUUUAAAAAACCUACAAUUUAGCCAGAGAAGUAAUUGCAGAAAUGUCUCCAAUUUGUGUUAUACUGGGAAAUGUUACCUCAUUAAAACAUGCUUUCCACACAGGUAUAAGAGGUUUUACGUUCUGACAUAGCGGACGUUGCAUUUGUUAUCCAAGAUAAAGUUUUUACCUUAAGAAAAACAAGACCGCAACUUCACUCUUUGGUCUGAAUUUCUUUCCACGACCAACAAGAAUGCACUGAAGGACAGUUUGGGUCUGACUGACAAGUGCAAACCACAGAAAAGCUGUAUGAAUAUUUUUCACAUACGACAUUUAAACUUGUAGUUGGUUUGAAAACAGCUGUUGCCCAGUCUUGUCAGAAGGGCCUAACCUUUAUUGUUCACACGGUUCGCAUUCUGUAAAUUUAUUUCAUCAAGAUCUUUGGAGGUUCUUUUCCCCUAAAUGCAUGCCAACAUACUGAACACAUACCAAUGUAUUGUUAUAGCAUGUAAGGUCUUUGACAACAAAACGGGACCUUUAAAUUAAUUAUUCUAUACAAACUGUAUCAUGUUCAUCUUUGAAUAAAAUAGUAUUGCCUUUCUGCAA